CAAAAUGCGCUGGUUUCCAAACGAGCGACGCCAUUGAGCUGGAAAGUUGUAAACAGAUAUAAAAUUAGUACCUCUUACGCCUAAUGAGGUUAAACACUUUGGUGGCUCUUUAGUUUUGUAUUUAAGAAUUUGAUGACGUCACGUGAAAGGCCAAAGAAGGAAUAUCCCACAAUACCCAUCGAUCGUCCAACUUGAGAAAAUUUCGCCUGUGGUUGGUUGGAGUUAAAAGGAUUCUCCAGAUAUUUGACUCUGAUGGUUAACUUCUUGCAGAUGAAAGUGCCAGGGAAAGGAAACAAGACAAAGUCAAGAGCAUGUCUCAUCAGAUGGUGGGACUGAUGGAAAAAUUUAACCUUCUUCCCUGUUAUUGAUAUCAAACAGAACACAGCAGCAGAUCAAAGCCGUCACGUACCAGUGCUGUGGGCCAUGAAGAGGAAGUGUACAUCAUUGCAACUUGAUAAAGGCUGUUUUCAAUCAUGGAAACAAUCUAGCAGUAAUUGUCUGGUAGGUUCAAUUUUUCUAAUAAUUAGAUUCUUCUUGCAUGCACGAUUUUAAGUAAACAGCACAUGUUUUUUGUCCCGUCCACACUACACUGGAAAAUUUGAAAAUGACAUU